rnacentral:rRNA from 1 species
CCCGCACAAGCGGUGGAGUAUGUGGUUUAAUUCGAUGCAACGCGAAGAACCUUACCUGGUCUUGACAUCCCGGAGACCCUUAGGAAACGUAGGGGGUGCUUCCAUCUGGAAGAAUCUGGAGACAGGUGCUGCAUGGCUGUCGUCAGCUCGUGUCGUGAGAUGUUGGGUUAAGUCCCGCAACGAGCGCCAACCCCUAUCUUUAGUUGCCAUCAGUUCGGCUGGGCACUCUAUGGAGACUGCCACCUAAAGUGGAGGAAGGUGGGGAUGACGUCAAGUCAGCAUGGCCCUUACGUCCGGGGCUACACACGUGCUACAAUGGCCGGUACAAAGGGUUGCGAAGCCGUGAGGUGGAGCGAAUCUCAAAAAGCCGGCCUCAGUUCGGAUUGGAGGCUGCAACUCGCCUCCAUGAAGUCGGAACCGCUAGUAACCGCAGAUCAGCUACGUUGCGGUGAAUACGUUCCCGGGCCUU